rnacentral:rRNA from 1 species
ACAGCGGAGGAAAAGAAACCAACUGGGAUUACCUUAGUAACGGCGAGUGAAGCGGUAAAAGCUCAAAUUUGAAAUCUGGUACUUUCAGUGCCCGAGUUGUAAUUUGUAGAAUUUGUCUUUGAUUAGGUCCUUGUCUAUGUUCCUUGGAACAGGACGUCAUAGAGGGUGAGAAUCCCGUUUGGCGAGGAUACCUUUUCUCUGUAAGACUUUUUCGAAGAGUCGAGUUGUUUGGGAAUGCAGCUCAAAGUGGGUGGUAAAUUCCAUCUAAAGCUAAAUAUUGGCGAGAGACCGAUAGCGAACAAGUACAGUGAUGGAAAGAUGAAAAGAACUUUGAAAAGAGAGUGAAAAAGUACGUGAAAUUGUUGAAAGGGAAGGGCAUUUGAUCAGACAUGGUGUUUUUUGCAUGCACUCGCCUCUCGUGGGCUUGGGCCUCUCAAAAAUUUCACUGGGCCAACAUCAAUUCUGGCAGCAGGAUAAAUCAUUAAGAAUGUAGCUACUUCGGUAGUGUUAUAGCUUUUUGGAAUACUGUUAGCCGGGAUUGAGGACUGCGCUUCGGCAAGGAUGUUGGCAUAAUGGUUAAAUGCCGCCCGUCUUA